rnacentral:rRNA from 1 species
AUUGAACGCUGGCGGCAGGCUUCACACAUGCAAGUCGAGCGAGCGGCGGACGGGUGAGUAAUGUCUAGGAACCUGCCUAGUGGAGGGGGAUAACUACUAGAAACAGUAGCUAAUACCGCAUACCAUCAGAUGUGCCCUGAUGUGAUUAGCUCGAAGGUGGGGUAAUGGCUCACUUAGGCGACGAUCCCUAGCUGGUCUGAGAGGAUGACGAGCCACACUGGAACUGGGCCACGGUCAAGACUCCUACGGGAGGCAGAAGUGGGGAAUUUUGUACAAUGGGAGAAAGCCUGAUGCAGCCAUGCCGCGUGUGUGAAGAAGGCCUUCGGGUUGUAAAGCACUUUUGGCGGAGAAGCGUUAUCCGCAGAAGCAGCACCGGCUAACUUCGUGCCAGCAGCCGCGGUAAUAC